rnacentral:rRNA from 1 species
AGCAGUCGCCACGGUAAUACGUAGGUGGCAAGCGUUGUCCGGAAUUAUUGGGCGUAAAGGGCUCGCAGGCGGUUUCUUAAGUCUGAUGUGAAAGCCCCCGGCUCAACCGGGGAGGGUCAUUGGAAACUGGGAAACUUGAGUGCAGAAGAGGAGAGUGGAAUUCCACGUGUAGCGGUGAAAUGCGUAGAGAUGUGGAGGAACACCAGCGGCGAAGGCGACUCUCUGGUCUGUAACUGACGCUGAGGAGCGAAAGCGUGGGGAGCGAACAGGAUUAGAGACCCCUGUAGUCCCUGUCUCUUAUAC